rnacentral:tRNA from 1 species
GGUCGUGUGCCCGAGUGGUCAGGGAGCGGUCUGCAAAACCGCGCAGCGGGGUUCGAUUCCCCGGGCGGCCUCCA